rnacentral:misc_RNA from 1 species
GCUUGGUUUGAUGUGGUGGAACGUUACUCCAAUGACAAUAAUAAGACAUUAAAACGAACUACGAAGAUAACUAGGUGUCUUAACUUGGGAUCGUACAAUUACCUUGGCUUUGCCGCGGCUGAUGAAUAUUGCACACCACAUGUUAUUGAAUCAUUGCAUAAGUUUUCCCCAAGUACUUGUAGUUCUCGUGUUGAUGGAGGAACUACAACAGUCCACACUGAAUUGGAGGAGUGUGUUGCAAA